UGAGUAGAGUUUCCCCACAACCAGCGGAGGACCUGGUGGCGCCCACCGCCAUGGACCACCCUGCGUUGGUGAAGGCCAAGGCAGAGAAGGAGUAUCCGGAUAUAGAGAUGAAGGAGGAGGAGGCCAAGGGGACGGGCAACACAAGCACGAGGUGCACGACGGCGACGGAGUCCAUCCUGAUGGCUGCUGACGCCACGAGUACUGUGGGGUCUGUGGCGGGCGUACCACUUGACCCGUAUGAGAAGCUGCCUCCCUCCCCGCAGUGUGUCUAUGUUCGUGGGGCACUGCCAUUUCCCUCCCUGUAUGGUGCACAACCUCGUGGUUGGUAGACGAUGGCACCGGCGAUCUCAACAUCACCAGUUCUGCAUUAGGACCCAUUCACAACAAAUGAGUGACGAUGGCACCGGCGAUCGCAACAUCACCAGUUCUGGACGUGCAACGAGGCGAGCCUUUGAAAAUUAUGGUGGAUGCUUAUCAAGUGAUACCUGACCAUUGGUUGUACCUAGCAUUCAAAGGGUGGUGUAAAAGAACUUACCCCCAUGGGUGAUGUGGGUGUCCGAAAACAUGAGCUGACACAAGGUGAUCUUCUACAAAUUGUAUCACUUGGUACUGCUAGGUGUAACCCGUGAAUUCUGAUUUGGUUUAAUCAAAUUGCUGUGUUCAUCAUUGAUAUUUUCAAAACAUUGUUGUUUACAACUUUUGUUGACCUUAU